rnacentral:rRNA from 1 species
UACAGAGGGGGCAAGCGUUGUUCGGAAUUACUGGGCGUAAAGGGCGCGUAGGCGGCCUUCUAAGUCGAACGUGAAAUCCCUGGGCUCAACCCAGGAACUGCGUCCGAUACUGGAAGGCUUGAAUCCGGGAGAGGGAUGCGGAAUUCCAGGUGUAGCGGUGAAAUGCGUAGAUAUCUGGAGGAACACCGGUGGCGAAGGCGGCAUCCUGGACCAACACUGACGCUGAGGAGCGAAAGCCAGGGGAGCAAAGC